UGCGCGCUCCCGGGGUUUCACCCAACGCAACAGAAAUAACUAAUCGGCUCGCUGCCGACGUUACUGCAGCCCCGCCACAAACUCGGUUAGACGGUGGCGGCUGCCGCAGCCAGUGGAACAGCAAGAUCCCACGGGGAGCCACGUGAUGCUGACUCACCUCCUCUGGUUUCGUUGGGUUGAUUCAGGGGCUCCUGGUGACAGCGACUUUAAUCUCCAUUUCGAUUGGCCAAAACAUUUCAAUAAUAAAGCUUCGGUGGAUGGAUUCCUGGAGUGUGUACAAGAUGUUACGUUGACGUGGCUGGGGAACAGGCUAUCCUUGGCUGGGCAAUGAGAAGGUGUUAGUUAAUAAUUGUGUGUGGGCUUCUCAACAUGACAGGAUUUUUUCAUUAAGAGGAAAUUGAAGCCGUUCAGUGUGGAACGAUGGGUCCAGUUUGAGACAAACAGUGAGGGGAGAGUUGACAAUGACGGACCGGGGAGUUUCAUCGAAGGUACAACAGUCGAUAGUCAAUGGCUAAUGUUUAAGAGUGUUCUGGGGGCAGCCCACAAGUGUCGCCACGCUUCCGGCGCCAACAUAGCACGCCCACAACUUCCUAACCUGUACGUCUUUGGAAUGUGGGAGGAAACCAGAGCACCCGGAGGAAACCCGCGCAGACACGGGAGAACGUACAAACUCCUUACAGGCAGAGACGGGAAUUGAACCCCGAUCGCUGGUGCUGUAAUAGCGUCGCGCUAACCACUCAUGAAACCGAGCGAUUAAGAAGGGAAGUGGUCGGUUCACCUUUCUGCAGGAGGAACAAGGGUGUGUGGCUACA